rnacentral:rRNA from 1 species
ACCCAAAGAGAUUGGUGUCAAGGUCGGAAAUGCCAUGACAAACGCGGCAGCAUUCGCAGACGAUAUAGUGCUAUUUGCGGAAACUCCGAUGGGCCUUCAAAAAUUGUUGGACAAGACCGUGGAAUUCUUGGGAACGGUCGGACUCACCCUGAAUGCUGAUAAGUGUUUCACUAUCGGUAUAAAGGGGCAGCCUAAGCAGAAGUGUACUGUUGUGACGCAACACAGCUUUCGCAUAGGUCUGCGCGAGUGUCCUUCAUUGAAGCGCACGGACGAGUGGAAGUAUUUAGGUAUCUGUUUCACUGCGGAAGGAAGGGUCCGGUACAAUCCAGCUGAAGACCUCGGUCCGAAGUUGUUGAGAUUGACUCGGGCCCCUCUGAAGCCACAACAGAAGUUGUUUGCCCUUAGGACUGUCCUCAUCCCACAGCUCUUUCACAAGCUAACCCUUGGGAGUGUGACGAUAGGCGUUCUAAGAAAAUUUGACAAAUUGGUACGUUUCUAUAUCCGGAAGUGGCUAGAUCUUCCGGGGGAUGUGUCAGUCGCCUACUUCCACGCCCCCCACAAUUGUGGGGGACUCGGAAUACCGUCCUUGAGAUGGUUAGCACCAAUGCUACGUUUGAAGAGAUUGAGCAACAUAAGAUGGCCAAACCUUGAGCAAUCCGAGGUGGUCAGCUCUUUCUUGGAAAAUGAAAUGCAGAGGGCCCGAGUUCGCUUACGAGCGGGAAAUGUAGAACUGCUAUCACGCCUUGAAAUAGAAUCGUACUGGGCAAACAGGUUGCACAUGUCUGUUGAUGGCAGCGGUCUCCGUGAGGCGGGUAAAUUCCACCCGCAGCAUGGAUGGGUCAGUCAGCCCACGCGUUUGCUAACAGGAAAGGAAUAUUUGAACGGAAUCAAAUUGCGGAUAAAUGCCCUACCCUCAAAGUCUCGUACUACGAGGGGAAGGCACGAAUUGGAUAGACGGUGUCGUGCAGGAUGUGAUGCUUCCGAAACAACAAACCACAUUUUGCAAAAAUGCUAUAGAACGUAUGGAAGACGCAUAGCUAGACACAACAGCGUAGUAAAUUCAAUCAAGUUGGGGCUUGAGAGAAAAGGCUGCGUUGUCCAUGUCGAACCAAGUCUGCAAUGCGAAUCCGGGUUGAAUAAACCUGACCUGGUGGCACUCCGACAUAAUCGCAUUUAUGUGAUUGACGCUCAGGUUGUGACAGACGGACAUUCGAUCGACGAUGCGCACCAACGCAAAAUCGAAAGAUAUGACAGACAGGACAUACGGACGGAAUUGCGGCGUCGAUUCGGAGAGGCAAGUGGCAUUGAGUUCCACUCCGCAACACUCAACUGGAGGGGGAUAUGGAGUAAUCGGUCGGUAAAACGAUUGAUUGCAUCAGAUCUCCUAACCACUAGCGAUAGCAAUAUCAUUAGUGUCCGGGUGGUGAAAGGCGGUAUUUACUGUUUUAGGCAUUUUAUGUAUUGGAAUGGCUACAGUAGAAGACUGGGAAAUGGAAGGCACUAGUUUCCCAACUAAAAGCCUGCUACCUUGGCAUAACAUCAAAAAAAGGUACAAACAUCGCAACAAUGACAUCCUAACAAGGAGGGUUUUAGUACGUAGGCGCUGUAGAACUUUCACACGUGGUGAGGUUCUGACGAAGCAGUGAAUCGUGCAUGCUAGACGCGGUCCGUGGGUGACCGACUAGUAUCUUUCGAAGAUUUCCCCACCUUAGCGAUCAAAAAAAAAAAAAAAAAAAAAAAAAAAAAUAGCCAAAUGCCUCGUCAUCUAAUUAGUGACGCGCAUGAAUGGAUUAACGAGAUUCCUACUGUCCCUAUCUACUAUCUAGCGAAACCACAGCCAAGGGAACGGGCUUGGAAUAAUUAGCGGGGAAAGAAGACCCUUUUGAGCUUGACUCUAAUCUGGCAGUGUAAGGAGACAUAAGAGGUGUAGAAUAAGUGGGAGAUAUUAGACUUCGGUUUGGUAUCGACAAUGAAAUACCACUACUCUUAUUGUUUCCUUACUUACUUGAUUAAAUGGAACGUGUAUCAUUUCCUAGCCAUUAUACGGAUAUAUUUAUUAUAUCUUAUGGUAUUGGGUUUUGAUGCAAGCUUCUUGAUCAAAGUAUCACGAGUUUGUUAUAUAAUCGCAAACAAAUUCUUUAAUGAGACGAUGCAUUUAUGUAUUUUUGAUUUGAAAAUUUGGUAUAACUCCAAUUACUCAGGUAUGAUCCAAUUCAAGGACAUUGCCAGGUAGGGAGUUUGACUGGGGCGGUACAUCUCUCAAAUAAUAACGGAGGUGUCCCAAGGCCAGCUCAGUGCGGACAGAAACCACACAUAGAGCAAAAGGGCAAAUGCUGACUUGAUCUCGGUGUUCAGUACACACAGGGACAGCAAAAGCUCGGCCUAUCGAUCCUUUUGGUUUAAAGAGUUUUUAACAAGAGGUGUCAGAAAAGUUACCAUAGGGAUAACUGGCUUGUGGCGGCCAAGCGUUCAUAGCGACGUCGCUUUUUGAUCCUUCGAUGUCGGCUCUUCCUAUCAUUGUGAAGCAAAAUUCACCAAGCGUUGGAUUGUUCACCCAUGCAAGGGAACGUGAGCUGGGUUUAGACCGUCGUGAGACAGGUUAGUUUUACCCUACUAAUGACAAAACGUUGUUGCGACAGCAUUCCUGCGUAGUACGAGAGGAACCGCAGGUACGGACCAAUGGCACAAUACUUGUUCGAGCGAACAGUGGUAUGACGCUACGUCCGUUGGAUUAUGCCUGAACGCCUCUAAGGUCGUAUCCGUGCUGGACUGCAAUGAUAAAUAAGGGGCAAUUUGCAUUGUAUGGCUUCUAAACCAUUUAAAGUUUGU